GAGCGCGAGGCCUGGCCGGGCUCCCCUCCCCGGAGGCUUGGAACGCGACGGCGGGGACUGGACCCCCGUCUCCCCCCGUGCCAGAUUCUCAUGUGUGGCUCCAUUCGCAUGCAUUGCAUAUAUCCACCAAGUCCAGCAAGGGAAGACCUCUGGCUGAAGCUGACAUUUCCUUCAGAUUUUAUCAUCACGUAUUCACAAUGAAUACACUACCGUGAGUGUUCUCAUCCAUUCCUGAAGAAGAAUUACAGCAGUUUCUCCAAAGGCAAAUCCUGCCUCACCAAUUUUUCCUGAUCCUUCUUAGUGUGUCAGUCAACCUUUACACUUGGAUUUUCCAAAUGAUUUUCAGGAAGUCUCAUCAAAGGCUCCUAAGAGAAUGUAACAAUCACAAGUUCCUUUUAUGGACCAGUAACUGAUUAAAUUAUG